GCGGGAAUAGCUCAGUUGGCUAGAGCAUCAGUCUUCCAAGCUGAGGGUCGCGGGUUCGAGUCCCGUUUCCCGCUCCA
rnacentral:tRNA from 1 species